rnacentral:rRNA from 1 species
GAUGAACGCUGGCGGCGUGCCUAAUACAUGCAAGUCGAGCGAACAGACGAGGAGCUUGCUCCUUUGACGUUAGCGGCGGACGGGUGAGUAACACGUGGGUAACCUACCUAUAAGACUGGGAUAACUUCGGGAAACCGGAGCUAAUACCGGAUAAUAUUUCGAACCGCAUGGUUCGAUAGUGAAAGAUGGCUCUGCUAUCACUUAUAGAUGGACCUGCGCCGUAUUAGCUAGUUGGUAAGGUAACGGCUUACCAAGGCAACGAUACGUAGCCGACCUGAGAGGGUGAUCGGCCACACUGGAACUGAGACACGGUCCAGACUCCUACGGGAGGCAGCAGUAGGGAAUCUUCCGCAAUGGGCGAAAGCCUGACGGAGCAACGCCGCGUGAGUGAUGAAGGUCUUCGGAUCGUAAAACUCUGUUUAUUUAGGGAAGAACAAACGUGUAAGUAACUGUGCACGUCUUGACGGUACCUAAUCAGAAAGCCACGGCUAACUACGUGCCAGC